GACGAACGCUGGCGGCGUGCUUAACACAUGCAAGUCGAACGGAAAGGCCCUGCUUUUGGGGGGUGCUCGGGUGGCGAACGGGUGAGUCACAAGUGAGUAACCUGCCCUUGACUUUGGGAUAACUUCAAGUAACUGGGACUAAUACCGGAUAGGCGCUCCUCCUGCAUGGUGGGGGUUAGAAAGUUUCGGCGGUUGGGGAUGGACUCGCGGCUUAUCUGCUUGUUGGGGGGGUAUUGGCUUACCAAGGCUUUGGGGGGUAGCCGGCUGGGGAGGGGGACCGGCCACAUUGGGACGGGGAUACGGCCCAGACCCCACGGGGGGGCAGCGGGGGGGAUUAUGGCACAUGGGGCGGAAGCCUGAUGCAGCAACGCCGCGGGCGGGAUGACGGCUUUCGGGUGGAAACCGGUUUCCGCAUGUGACGAAGUGGGAGUGACGGUAAUGGGUAAAGAAGCACCGGCUAACUACGUG
rnacentral:rRNA from 1 species